ACUGGUCAUGGUGGCGUGAGCCUGUAAUGCCAGCUACUCAGGAGGCUGAGGCAGGAGAAUCGCUUGAACCCAGGUGGUGGAGGCUGCAGUGAGCUGAGAUCACACCAUUGCACUCCAGCNNNNNNNNNNGCUGGAGUGCAAUGGUGUGAUCUCAGCUCACUGCAGCCUCCACCACCUGGGUUCAAGCGAUUCUCCUGCCUCAG
rfam:Chlorocebus sabaeus isolate 1994-021 chromosome 6, whole genome shotgun sequence.